rnacentral:tRNA from 1 species
GGAGAUGUCGCAUAGUGGCCUAGUGCGCCUUCCUGCUAAGAAGGUUGGGGUGGUAAGCCCCUCGGGAGUUCGAAUCUCCCCAUCUCCGCCG